rnacentral:ncRNA from 2 species
AUCAAUGCAAAGACCGGAAAUAGUAAGAUGAAAUGCACUUUUCAGAGAGGAAACCAAAUUGGUGCGAGGUUUCCAGGCAGCAGCAUCCGAAGUCGUCCGCGAGCAGUCUUCGUGAACUUCUUAGUAGCGAAGGCCGGUGAAGAGCCGUUAUCCGAUUUGAGAGCCGAAAGGGAUUUUUUUCUUUUUCGGAAAAAAGGUGGCACCGCGAACAACUUCCUUCGUCCUUUUG